CGUAAACGUAAACUACGGUAUUCUCACCGUAUACCAUGCCGCGCGCAUGCGCAUUGACUUUUAGGAGAGAAGAAAGGAAAGAGUAAAGAGGAGGAGCGGCGUCAUGCGCUCGCCUUUCGUUCCCCGCCGCUCAUGCACGCGCGUGGACGCUGCGACGACUGCUUGGCGCGCCGGCGCACCUUGUGUUACGGUACUCGCGAGAAACCGGGCAUGCGCAGAGCGGCGCAGAUACGGCAAGGAACAGCCGGCUCGGCGCCCGAUGCGUCACCAGUCUCGCCAUUUUCGAAGGCUCUGCUAUCGGCGCUGGUUUGGAAUCCGUUGGGCCACGUAUUGUACUCCCGCUGCAGGUGGCGACCUGUGGAACCCAGAGGAGUGCCUUGUUGCUGAUCGCCACAUGUUGGGAGCGGCUAGAGAACGUCACUACAGUAUUCUGCAUGUUAUUCACCAGUUAUUUUUCCUUCCACGUCUGUUAUGCUGAAAGAUUGUAGUCUACUUUGGAAUUCGUUCAAAGAUAUGCCGAGCAGCAGGCCAAGGGAAGCUUGUACCCAUUGCAUCACUGGCGGACGCCCAGCCGCACUGGGGAUCGAACCUCGCACCAUCCGCAUGGCACUUUUGGUAUUAACCCAGACCAUGGACGCAAGGCUGAGAAAAAAAGCAAGGAAAGAGAACCCAAAAAUAUUCAGUUUGACGAAAAAAUCAUGGAUUCUGAAUGGAAUGUUUACACAACUUCAGAGGAUGAUGGUGAAACAAAAGAAGUGAAGCACUAGGGUGGACCUAACAAGGAGUUGGAAGAAAACCUAAUGUUCAACUGAUUUUUGAACACCUAAAAAUGUACAAGAUAGAUCAAACUGUUACAAAUAGAUUAUGAUAAAGUUAUUUAUUGUGCCUGGAAUGGACAUAUGCCAAAUGCAGAAUCCAGGUGUGUGGAGAACUUUAAUAAAUAGCAGUAUUGCCCAUUUCCA